UUGAUAUUGAGGAUUUUUCAAAUUAACUUUUUUAGAUGAUUUAAACAAAAUACACAAGGCCUACACAUACUAUGGCCAAUUUUAAUAUGAAUGUUAUUACAUCUAAUCAAAUCUGACCUGCCUUUAAACUAUGAAGUGAUUAGCCUACAUUUUAGAUUAGUUGUAUGAAUAAACAUGCUGCACCUACAGUAGUAGGAGAUGUACAAGAAAAAGUCAGGUUUGGUCCAUGUUAAGGAAAUCAACAUGAAAAACACUUUAUUUCUAAUUGAGUAGAAUAAUUCAUUUCUGAAAUGUAUUCAUACUAUAGUAGAGUUAAUUAUUUGAACCACAGUCUAAUGAAAUGAAGAGUGCCAAACAUGCAGGAGGUUGUUGCACCAGCAGUAAUAGGGAUUGUAUCACUGUGGUACACUUUUGGUAGCGGCACCAGACUAGAUGUUGGAAGUAACAGUGCCCCCACCCUCACCGUCCUGCCCCCCUCUAGUGAGGAGCUGUCCAGUACAACAACAGCCACACUGACGUGUCUGGCCAACAAGGGCUUCCCCUCAGACUGGACCAUAAGAUGGAAAGUGGACGGGACCAGCCAGAAGCAGGAGACCAGUUCUAGGGUCCUGGAGAAGGAUGGCCUGUACAGCUGGAGCAGCACCCUGACUCUCACUGGCCUGGAGUGGACCAAGGCAGGAGAGGUGACCUGUGAAGCUCAGCAGAAUUCCCAGACUCCAGUCACCAAGACCUUGAGGAGGGCUGACUGUUAGGCCCCCUAGUCACACACCCCUGUGGAGAGAGGCUGCUGGUUCCUCUGCUUUGACUCAUGUGUCAGUCCUCUCUGUGGACUGAGAUUGAAUCGGUAUUAGAUUUGAUGAGUUCUGUUUUGUUACUAUUAGAUACUGUAGGAAUGUUUGCUUUGAUGCUUUGAUGAAUAGAUGAAAAUAAAGAUUUCCCUUUGGAACACAUA